AGCGUGAGGGCCGCCGUUGCUGGAGUUCAGCUUAGGGAAGGAGGACUCUGAGGAGGCCCCGAGCGGCGGAGCGCUUCGGGGGAGGCGCCCGCGCAGACGCGAGGCCCAUAGCCAGGACCACCACCUAGCUGAUUCUUGAUGACAUUGGUCGGGAAAACUCGCCUUUCACGGCCCGGCCAAGGGGCAUUUGGGUGCUUUUGCUGCCCGUGGCUGUGCUCAGCGUUGUGGGAAGCCCCUGGGAGGCCGAAUGUGCAGGAUCACCGAGGGGAAAGUGAGCUUGACAGUUCUACAGUCUGGGGACGACGGUUUAAAAAUUUAUGCCUUGCAUGCGAUGUGCAGUGGGUGAUGGAAGAACGUCUACAUGGCUUUAAAAUUGGAUUUAAAAGGCAAAUAUUUUAAAUGAAGGAAAACCCAAGAAGUUUACUUGAUUCCUUAUCUUCCAGGAUGCGACUUUUGUUUAUUUAUUUAUUUUAUUUUGAUGGAGUCUCGCUGCCGUCGCGCAGGCUGGAGUGCAGUGACGCGAUCUUGACCCGGGAACCUCCACCUCCCGGGUUCAAGCGAUUCUCCUUCCUCAACCACCCGAGUAGCUGGGAUUACAGGCGUGUGCCACCAUGCCCGGCUAAUUUUUGUGUUUUUAGUAGAGACCGGGGAAGGUAUGGGCCCUCUUUUGAGAAAAAUGCAGAGUGACACUGAAUUUUGUAACUACAUCAGGAGGCUCUUGAACCUUCUGCAGCUCACUCGUGGAGUUUGUAGAGAUGCGUAAUAAUCCGAAGUGUUAAGGAAGAAGGUUCUGUUGAGAAAAAGUUGGAGGGCUGAAAGGGAUGCCUUUCGCUAUUUCGACAUGUGUGGCUGUACCCCAGAGUGCCCUGGCUAACACGCAAAACCAUGAAUUAGGCGGCUUGGCGAGGCUCAGUGGAGGCUGGGGCCGAGAGUCAUGUCAAAGUUUGUGGGGUUAACCUGCACCCAGUGACAGUCAUGGCGAAGUUUGUGAGGUUAACUCGCACCCAGUAACGCUGUUCCAAUGCAAGGUGUGUAUUUGGUGUCAUCCACGGGAAGAGGAAACAGCAAAUUUUCUCAUGGCCUUGGCAGUUCCACAUGAUGGACAUUUCAUAUCUGCAGUUUUCUUCGCAUGAGAUGGCUUUUUUGCACAAAAACACUGGAAUCCAGUGAGCAAGAAUGAUAGAAUGCAAGAUGGAUUUCCACAUGAGGAAGUGUCACGAACAAGCGUUUUGCAUCUCUGUCAGCUGGAUUCCCCCAUGUGUACGUAUGUGAGAACAUGCCGUGUUUCCUGUCUGUAAUGGUAGAGGCAGCCCUGAUACUGGAUUUUCACCUGAGGAUGGAUAGAUCUUCAGGGUUCAAGUGGGUUUGCAUCUGGACUUUAGGGUGGCCCUGUAGGCCCUGUGUGAGAAGCCCCCUUCCCAGUGAACUUUCCCUUGUGUGCCCGCGUGGACAGCCAACAGGGGGAGCAGUGCGAGCGUGAAGGCAGACAGUGGCCUGGCCCAGUCUGAUGGUAAGUGGGCCAGAGGCAGUGAGUACCAUUUCUUGAUCUGACUACUCAAGACAGGCGCUUCCCUAGGUACUUUCACACCUCAUUGCGAGGUACGUGUUGUUCCCAUUUUACAGGUGCAGAAGCUGAGCUGCAGAGGCGUUAGGUACCUGCCUCAUAAGUGGUAGAGACUCCAGUGUCACCCUGCCCCUCACGUUCGGAGCCCCCGAGGGAGGGUCUGCCGGGCAGCUCAGCCCAGCACUCUGUAAGGAAAUCUUCAGUGCCACUGCCCAGGAUGUCUUCCCGGGGAUUGGGCCUGAAUGUCUUGACCAUGCCGUGCUGGAGGUAGGAGGGGUGUCUUCAUAUGGAAGAACUGUACAUAUUUCUUUGGCAGAUGGCUGAACUCUGUGACCCCGGGGCCUGUUUCAGCCUCCUGCUGUCAGAAAGCAGCUGUUUGGGAAGAGGCUGUGAUUCGGCCUUGUUUGAGGGCCGAUACUCUGAAUGGGUGAGGCUUGGAAUCCUCCCUUUGGAACAAAGAAACAUAAUGAUUUUGCUGAAGGUAGAAUUGGGGGACUAGGCAGAGUGGCCUCCUGCCCUCCCUGGGGUGGUUCUGUCUUUUGCAAAGGUGGCUGCAUCCUUAGGGGAAGGUGAGGGGAGAAGCAGGGAGCAUGGAGAGAAGUGGCUUUCGAUUUUCUCUCUCCUUUUGGGGAGUUCCUCCUUAUGUGGCUGGUCUGGUGCAUAGUGUGAUGUAUUCCUGUACGCAACGUUGCCCUGACAGCCAGUCCAAGCUGAGUCUAGAGCUGGCAAGGUGAGCUCCCAGUAGUAAGAGGGUGUGGGCGGCAAGCCACCCAGGCACCGAGGCAAGAGACAGAGGACACGAGCUGUUCCAGUAUAAUAAAAUAUAAAACAAGAAUAGUUAUACCAGAUAUAGAUCUUAGAUAUGAUUAUAUAUGAAUAUCAUUAAUCAUGAGUUUGCAGCAAUUACUUUUUAUUCCAAUAUUAUGAUAAUCCUCGCUCUAUAAUCAUAGCCUAGGAAAAACCAGGCCAUACAGAGGAGCUGAGGGGACAUAGUGAGGUGUGACCAGAAGACAAGAGUGCGAGGCUUCUGUUAUGCCCGGACAGGGCCACAAGAGGGCUCCUUGGUCUAGCGGUGACGCCAGCGUCUGGGAAGACGCCCGUUACCCGGCGGAUCGUGGCCCAGUGGUAGCAAAAGGUGUCAAGGAACAACACUCACUACUUAGCAGACCGGGAAAGGGGCGGGGGGGGGGUCUCCCUUUCCCCGGGGGAGUUUAGAAAAGACUCUGCUCCUCCACCUCUUGUGGAGGGCCUGACAUCAGUCAGGCUUGCCCGUAGUUAUCCGGAGGCCUAACUGUCUCCCUGUGAUGCUGUGCUUCAGUGGUCACACUCCUUGUCUGCCUUCAUGUUCCAUCCUGUACACCUGGCUCUGCCUUCUAGAUAGCAGUAGUAAAUUAGUGAAAAUACUAAUAGUCCCUGAUAUGCAGAAAUAAUGGUAUAAGCUGUCUUUCUCUCUGUCUCCUCUCCCUCUCUGCCUCGGCUGCCAGGCAGGGAAGGGCCCCCUGUCCAGUGGACACGUGACCCACGUGACCUUACCUAUCAUUGGAGGUGACUCACAUUCUUUACCCUGCCCCUUCUGUCUUGUAUCCGAUAAAUAACAGCGCAGUCAGACAUUCGGGGCCACUACCGGUCUCCGCGCAUUGGUGGUAGUGGUCCCCCGGGCCCAGCUGCCUUUUCUCUUAUCUCUCUGUCUUGUGUCUUUAUUUCUACACUCUCUCAUCGCCACACACAGGGAGAGACCCACCGACCCUGUGGGGCUGGUCCCUACAUCUGGCGCUCUGACGUGGGGCUCUCCCUCGCUGUGUGAAGUUGCACCCUGAGUGCGGGAUCAGCGGAGGAGUUCAACGAGAGAUUCCUGAGGAUUGCAGUCUAUAAACUUGGUGGAAAAGAACUACAGCCUGUGUGGGUCCCCUCCCGACAAUUAAAAUUGCACCAUAACUCCAAAGAUGAAACGCUCCCAGAAAGAAAAGGCAAAGACCCAUCGGAAACAAAAGAGCAACUUUCACCGCCUGAUACAUACACUUCAUGACAUCCACAUUGAGACAAAAUCUCGCCGUGUGACCUACAACACCUCUCGUUCAACCCCACCUACUUGGGGUCGAAUACAGAUUUUAUCUCAUCAAACAGAAAAAUUCUUAACAGAAAAAGGAAUCCCAAAAAUGACUGGUAAUAUAAUUCUGGCUGCCUUUAUGGUAGUCAGUGCAGCGGUAAGUAUACCACCGGUCGGGGCAACUCAAAAUUAUACUUAUUGGGCAUAUGUUCCUUUUCCCCUUCUAAUUCGGUCUGUCUCCUGGAGGGACUCUCCAGUAGAAGUUUACACUAAUAAUAGUGCAUUCAUGCCGAUCCCUAAUGAUGAUCGGUUUCCAGCUCAACCGGAAGAAGAAGGUAUGCACUUUAAUCUGUCAAUUGGCUAUAAAUAUCCACCAUUAUGUAUUGGGAAGUCGCCUGGUUGUUUAGCUUAUUCUUAACAGAAUUGGAUGUGGACUGUACCGUCCUUUACAAAUGAUUCUUAUCAAGUAUAUAAUGUGUUCAGUACUAACUCUUUUCAACUUCUCACUGUCAAACGUACCCCACAUGAGGCAUGGAGAGUUCCUCUCACUACCAAAACUAAUAAAACAAAAGGACUGCCGGACUGUCCAAAGAAACCUACAAAUGGGCCUUUUAUAGUGACUUCAAUUUUAUGGGAUAAUUGUAAUGCUCCCAAGGCUGUUGUACUCCAAACUCUAGCCAUGGGUAUUGUUAUUGAUUGGGCUCCAAAAGGACAUUAUUGGCAAGAUUGCUCCAGCAAAAAUACCUUAUGCUCGGAGUUUAUUUAUUCCUUAGAUUAUAUAGAGCAUGGGUGGCAGUCUUACACGAUGAGACAACGGGUGUCUCCUUACCCAUUUAAAUGGAUGGACACAGGUAUUGCUCCUCCUAGACCAAAAAUUAUUCAUCCCUUUUUUACCCCAGAACAUCCUGAACUAUGGAAAUUAGCUGCAGCUUUGUCGGGAAUAAAGAUAUGGAACACUACCUAUCAGCUCCUUCGUACUAAAACCAAAACACCCACAUUCAACAUCACCCUUAUUUCUGAAUGGGUGAUACCCAUUAGGAGCUGUGUCAAACCCCCUUACAUGCUGUUGGUUGGAAAUAUAAUUAUGAUGCCUGAUGCACAAACUAUAGAAUGUCAUAACUGUAAGCUGUUCACUUGCAUUGAUGCAACUUUUAAUCCCACUACAAGUAUUCUCUUGGUAAGGGCUAGGGAGGGGGUAUGGAUACCAGUUUCUCUACAUCGUCCAUGGGAGUCUUCCCCCUCUAUUCACAUAGUCAAUGAAGUUCUUAAAGACAUCCUCAAAAGAACAAAGAGAUUUAUUUUUACUCUUAUUGCAGUCCUUGCAGGACUACUUGCGGUUACUGCAACAGCAGCAACUGCUGGAGUUGCCAUCCGCAGUUCUGUUCAAACUGCUCACUAUGUUGAAGCAUGCCAGAAAAAUUCCUCCAGACUUUGGAAUUCUCAGGCGCAAAUUGAUCAAAAAUUAGCUAAUCAGAUUAAUGAUCUCCGCCAAAGUGUAACCUGGCUGGGAGAUAGAGUUAUGAACUUGCAACACCGUAUGCAAUUACAGUGUGAUUGGAAUACUUCUGAUUAUUGCAUAACGCCUUAUGCUUAUAAUCAAGAUCAACAUAGCUGGGAAAAUGUCUCAAGACAUUUAAAAGCCUGGGAUGAUAACUUAACCUUGGAUAUUUCACAACUUAAAGAGCAAAUCUUUGAGGCUUCACAAGCCCAUUUAUCCACAGUUCCUGGCUCACACAUUUUUGAAGGCAUAACUAAACAAUUACCUGAUUUUAAUCCCUUCAAAUGGCUCAAACCCGUCAGAGGAUCAUUGUUGUUACUGGCAUUAUUAAUAUUGGUAUGCUUAUGUUGUCUCCUUUUAGUCUGCAGAUGCCUCUAAGGAGUCCGAAACCAAGUCCGAAGUCAACAACAAGCAAUGAUGGCGAUGGCGAUUCUAGUUAAUAAAAAGGGGGGAGAUGUGGGCGGCAAGCCACCCAGGCACCGAGGCAAGAGACAGAGGACACGAGCUGUUCCAGUAUAAUAAAAUAUAAAACAAGAAUAGUUAUACCAGAUAUAGAUCUUAGAUAUGAUUAUAUACGAAUAUCAUUAAUCAUGAGUUUGUAGCAAUUACUUUUUAUUCCAAUAUUAUGAUAAUCCUCGCUCUAUAAUCAUAGCCUAGGAAAAACCAGGCCAUACAGAGAUAGGAGCUGAGGGGACAUAGUGAAGUGUGACCAGAAGACAAGAGUGCGAGCCUUCUGUUAUGCCCGGACAGGGCCACCAGAGGGCUCCUUGGUCUAGCGGUGACGCCAGCGUCUGGGAAGACACCCGUUACCAGGCGGAUCGUGGCCCAGCCGUAGCAAAAGGUGUCAAGGAACACCUUUUGCAAAAGGUGUCAACACCCGCUACUUAGCAGACUGGGAAAGGGGGGCGGUCUCCCUUUCCCCGGGGGAGUUUAGAGAAGACUCUGUUCCUCCACCUCUUGUGGAGGGCCUGACAUCAGUCAGGCUUGCCCGUAGUUAUCCGGAGGCCUAACUGUCUCCCUGUGAUGCUGUGCUUCAGUGGUCACGCUCCUAGUCUGCCUUCAUUUUCCAUCCUGUACACCUGGCUCUGCCUUCUAGAUAGCAGUAGUAAAUUAGUGAAAAUACUAAUAGUCCCUGAUAUGCAGAAAUAAUGGCAUAAGCUGUCUUUCUCUCUGUCUCCUCUCCCUCUCUGCCUCGGCUGCCAGGCAGGGAAGGGCCCCCUGUCCAGUGGACACAUGACCCAUGUGACCUUACCUAUCAUUGGAGGUGACUCACAUUCUUUACCCUGCCCCUUCUGCCUUGUAUCCAAUAACAGCGCAGUCAGACAUUCAGGGCCACUACCGGUCUCCGCACAUUGGUGGUAGUGGUCCCCCGGGCCCAGCUG
rnacentral:lncRNA from 1 species